ensembl:lncRNA
CCUGCGAAAUACUGUCUGACAUGAAAACGGUCCGUGAGGUAAAAAAGGGGACCACUGCUCUACAACACGGGUCCCCAACCAUUUGGUAACGGGCUGCACCACAGAAAGAUGAGGUUUUUUUCGUUUACCUUUUUUAUGAAAAAUGUUUUGGAUCUUCACGACCGGUCCGCCAAAUAUUGUCUGACACCGAAAAACGGUCCGUGAGGCAAAAAAGGGUCUAUGAGAAAAUGACUAUUUCUCUCUUGAUAAACAUGAGUUUAUGGUCUCAGUCUCUAGUUUCUAGUUCCUUCAACACAGAAUGAUGUUUAUUUAGUCAAUUAUCGUCCAUUUAGAGUAAAACAGACCAUAAAGCAGGGGACGCUUUAGGGCGGGGCUACAUGCUGAUUGACAGGUCUCUAAUAGACCAUAAAGCAGGGGAUCAGGAAUCAGGAAUCAGGAAACAUUUAUUGGCCAAAAUAUGCUAAACAUACAAGGAAUUUGUCUUGGCGGUUAGUGCGCGACAGUAGACAGACAAGACAACAGUGCACAGGUAAUAAAAUAAAGUGGAAUGAAAUGCUAAUGCAAUGUGUUAGUAACCGAAGCACCGAGGCGGCCAUCAACGGCGCCAUCUUGUCUAUAACUUAUUAGGGGAUGCUUUAGGGCGGGGCUAAACGUUGAUUGACAGGUCUCUUAUAGACCAUAGAGCAGGGGACGCUUCAGGGCGGGGCUACACGCUGAUUGACAGGUCUCUUAUAGACCAUAAAGCAGGGGAUGCUUUAGGGCGGGGCUACACGCUGAUUGACAGGUCUCUUAUAGACCAUAAAGCAGGGGAUGCUUAGGGCGGGGCUACACGCUAAUUGACAGGUCUACCGGAGAGGGUCUCUCCAUCUUCCUCAGUCCAAAUAUGGUCACUUCCUAUUCAGUGAUUUCCAAAGUGUCCAAAAGUUUCUGACCUCAAAGAGAAUCAGUCAACAGGUGAUUAAAUAAUCACUGAAGCCAUGACAUAUUUGGAUUUUACCCUCUAUGUGACAGCAAUAAAACAUCUAUAUACACACGUGAAUUAACUCAAGGUAUAUUUAAUAAUAAAU